rfam:Phycomyces blakesleeanus NRRL 1555(-) unplaced genomic scaffold PHYBLscaffold_18, whole genome shotgun sequence.
GCCUUCUUGGCUCAGUUGGCAGAGCGUCUGCCUAGUAAGCAGAAGGUCGCCAGUUCAAUUCUGGCAGAAGGCA